rnacentral:rRNA from 1 species
GAUAAACGCUAGCGGCAGGCUUAACACAUGCAAGUCGAGGGGCAGCAUAGAUUGUAGCAAUACAAUUGGUGGCGACCGGCGCACGGGUGCGUAACGCGUAUGCAACCUACCCGUCACGGGGGGAUAAUCCGGAGAAAUCUGGUCUAAUACCCCAUAACAUAUGGAUCGGCAUCGGUUCAUGUUGAAAUUUUCGGUGGUGACGGAUGGGCAUGCGUAGCAUUAGCUUGUUGGUGAGGUAACGGCUCACCAAGGCGACGAUGCUUAGGGGGACUGAGAGGUUUUCCCCCCACACUGGUACUGAGACACGGACCAGACUCCUACGGGAGGCAGCAGUGAGGAAUAUUGGUCAAUGGGCGCAAGCCUGAACCAGCCAUGCCGCGUGCAGGAUGACGGCUCUAUGAGUUGUAAACUGCUUUUGUACGAGGGUAAAGUGGGUUACGUGUAACCUUUUGAAAGUAUCGUACGAAUAAGGAUCGGCUAACUCCGUGCCAGCCGCCGCAGUAA